AUGAAUAUUUAGCAAACUCAUCCAAAGGUGGGGACGCAAAGCUAUGGGUCUAAGGGGGAUAAUCCUAUGAUUGCCAGGUUGCCGAU
rnacentral:ncRNA from 1 species